rnacentral:lncRNA from 10 species
AAUGACAAGGAUGGCCAGUAAAGAGGCACUUUGCUGGCCAAGAACCCCAUGUGGGGCUGUGACAGGCAGAAGGAUGGCUCCUUGAAGAUACUCAUGUCCUAAUUCCCAGAACAUGUGAAUAUGCUACUUCAACAGCAAAAGGGACGUUGCAGAUGUAAAUUACGGACCUCGAGACCGGGAGAUUAUUCUGGAUUGUCUGGUGGACCCACUGUAAUCACAAGGUUCAUAUAAGGGAAAUAGGGAAGCAGGAGAGUCGGAGAAGGAGAUGGGAUGAUGGAGGCAGAGGUUGGAGUGAUGCAAUUGCUAGCUUUGAAGGUAGAGGAAGAGACCUUAAGCCAAGGAAUGUGGGUGGCUUCUAGAAGCUAAAAAAAGGCAAACAAACAAACAAACAACAACCCUGCAACAGAUUCUUCCCUAGACCCUCCAGAAGGAACACUGCCUUGCUAACACCUUGAUUUUAGCCCAGUAAAAUUCAUUUUGAACUUCUAACCUGCAGAACCA